UAUCUCUGUAGAGUCUGCAUAUCAAUAAGCGGAGGAAAAGAAACUAACUAGGAUUCCCUUAGUAACGGCGAGUGAAGCGGGAAGAGCUCAAAUUUGAAAUCUUCAAGGUUCUACCUUGACGAAUUGUAGUUUAAAGAAGUGUUUUCUGUUGGAGUUUUGGUAAAAGUUCUUUGGAAUAGGACAUCAUAGAGGGUGAGAAUCCCGUAUUUGACCAUUAUUUUCAGCUGUGUGAUACACUUUCAAAGAGUCGGAUUGUUUGGGAAUGCAGUCCAAAAUGGGUGGUAAAUUUCAUCUAAAGCUAAAUACUGGCGAGAGACCGAUAGCGAACAAGUACCGUGAGGGAAAGAUGAAAAGAACUUUGAAAAGAGAGUUAAACAGUACGUGAAAUUGUCAAAAGGGAAGCGUUUGACACCAGUGUUGUUUUCUCGAAAAUCAAUUAAAAAUGGUGGAUGUUGUGUUGUAUUGACUUUAUCAGCUUUCUGCACUUUUUUCUUGUCUUUUUUAAUGCACUUUUCGUUUAACAAGUCAACAUCAAUUUCUUUUGUUGUAAAAGAGUCAUUGGAAGGUGGCUUUCCUUUCGGAGAAAGUGUUUAUAGCCUUUGCCUCUGCAAUCGGAGAGAUUGAGGUCUGCAGCGUAGAUCCUUCGGGGUUAGAUACAUUUGUGCUAAGUUAUAGCUUUUCAUAGACAACUUGUUGACUAUGUUUAGUCUUGUAGCUUACUCGCUUAUGCUAUUUUACCUACGCUUAGGAUGUUGAGUAGCGACAUACGCAC
rnacentral:rRNA from 1 species